rnacentral:lncRNA from 1 species
GAGCAGGCCGAGCAAGAGGAAGCGCAGGAGUUGAAGCCGACCAAGCGGCAGAGUCUGAAGAGGAAGCGGUUCGCGGUGAAGUUCGCUGCCCUGCCGGAGGAGAUGUCCCGAGAGGGAGGCCAGCUCACCAUCACCGAGUCUCUCGACUCGGACCAGAUGGAGGCACUCAAGACGCUCAAAGGACUCGUUGCCGACGAAAGCAAUUUAUACAUUGGCGAAGAUGACCGAGUUUUAAUGAGGUAUCUAAGGUGCACGAAUUUCAACCCAGACAAAGCUUUUUAUAGGAUGAAAUCUGUAUAUACUUUGAAAGCAAAUAAUCCCAACUGGUAUCCAGAUGGUAGGCCGCUUAAGGAGUAUAGCUGGCUUUUAGACAAGCAUGUUCAUCAUCUAUUAUCCAGUAGAGACUCGAAAGGGAGGAAAGUGUACUUGUUAAACUCGGUACGUUUGGUUUCUAUUUUGAAACAAGUUGUAAUUUAUGUACUAUCAGGUACUUUCACCAUCAUGUGCUGUUCUCUUUUUAAGAAUAACCAAACAUAAA